AUAACAUUGUUCUUUUUUUGAUAAUUUGCUUCAGUUAAUAUUUAUUUUAUCACAUUAGAAUUCUAGAUAAUAAUAUAACAUAUUUAUAAAUUGAAUAGCAGGACUUAUGAGGGUUUUAUACGUAAAUAUAAAUUGCAUGAUAGUGAACAAAUAGAAUUGACGUGCAUUAAGUACUUAGACACGUAAAAUCAGAUGACAGGUGGUGCCGGGGAACGGAAGCCUCUGAGAGGCGGCUCUCCCCCAGCUUGCAGGUCCCUAUAGGCAGCACGUCGUUCAGCAGGCGAUAGAGGUGCUUCAGUAUCUUCCCGACGACGGAAAACUAGUGUGGAGUCCGAUUCGUAACCUGAUUCUUUUAAUGCCCUAAAAAUAUAUUUAUAGUAGAAACAACAAUAAUUUCAAAACUUUUUCUAUAUUUGAAAUCAGAGUUUCUGUAUCGAAAUAAUAAUCGAAUCAACAAAUCAAGAAUUGAUCUUUAUUAUUUUGCUAAAUUGAAAAGUUAUUGAUGUCUAAUUAAUAGAUAGUAAAACUUAUAGUCAUAAAGCAUUUUGAUAAACUUAUGCUUUUUAAUACAAAUAUUAACCACAUGUAAAAGUAUUUUAUGGAAUUGUGUGAUUAUUUUACUAUUAGUAUGUAGUUUAUUAACACUCUCUUGUUAAAACAAAUUUUUAUUGCACCUUUUUUAAUAUGUGAAAAAAAUAAUAAUAAGUGUUUUACCAGAAGGAGACUUUGUACAAAAGUCGUUUGCUUGGGUAUCUCUGUCCCAUUCGUGUUUCAACCGUAAAGCAGUUGUGUUUGCAUGACUGUGUUUCGGUUUGAAGGGUGGGAUAUGGCAUGAAUUUACAGGGUACAGAGGAGUAACACCUGAGUCCUCAGGAAUGGCAACGUACUGCUCAUAUCUUUAGGCAACGGUUACCACUUUCCAUCAGGUAGGCCAUCAGUUUGUUUGCCAUUCUAAGUUGUAUGAAAAAAAACUGACCUGGCCAUAUUUGAUUUUGAUAAAAUAGCAGAUGUUAUGUCCUUCUUGUCUUUGGGAGAUGCUUGUGGUAACGAUGUUGUACUUGAUAUGUUUUGCUGAAAGAAAAUCAUAAAAUAAGUAUUCUUGUAAUAUCAGUUUAUUAAAUAGCUGCUAUAGUUAGAA